GCCCCGGUGGCUCAGCGGAAAGAGCGCCGCUCUACGGAAGCGGAGAGCCCAGGUUCGAAUCCUGUCGGGGCA
rnacentral:tRNA from 1 species